UNGUGUCACACCUGAUGGAGCUGCCUAGG
rnacentral:piRNA from 1 species